CCUAUGAAUAUUUCUAUGCAGCCUUUAGAGAAGUUUAAAUCACUCUGCAAGUGUUUCCCCCAAAGAGAACAUACACAGUUCUUACAAACCAUUAAUAACUGUCACUUUGGGAGACAAAAACGGUCCAUCUAAAAAACAGGUACCUGUUGAGAAUGACACCCUUUAUUUGUUUAUUUUCUCGGAAAAUUGUAAGAAAUUUACCUCUACGAGGAAGGCCACACAGAAUUGGGUGAUGGCUGCCACCAAAAUCGAAACCCUCCAUGAUGCCAGUGUUGGGAUGAACUGGUAAAAAAAGAUUCUUAGCUUUAUACCAUGCAGACCUUAAAUUUUGAAAACACACACAAAUAAACAUUAUCUUAUUCAAUUUAUGUAUUUGUAACAGCUCUCUGAGCUCGGAGGGUAGGCAUUGCUUUCUCCACUUCAAAGAUGAGGUCAGUGCUUUGCCUAAGGAUGCAAAGUCAAUCAAUAAACAGAGCCAGAAUUCAAAUGAGAACUGACUGCCUCUUGGCCUGUGUUUCCUCCACUGCCUGAGAGUAAACAUUCGGUAAAAUGUGCCAUGGGUCACAGACAUGGGACAAAACACUUUGGAACCUGUGUGUCUCUCUUCAUUUUUAUCUUUUCAAAUGGAGGUAAGAGGAUGCAGGAUAAAGUCAUUCAUCUAAUAAUGCUAUCACUUCUAAUCCUCCCAAAGUUAAAAUCUACUUGGAGUUCAUUCAUUCAGUGAGAUUGACGUAUGUGUAAAACAUAAAGGUCAAAGAGGUUUAUCAGUUGCUUUUGAUACCAGGUGGAAAAUUUCUGAACAAAGGUUCCGAGUCCUAAGUCUAAUGGCUUUAUCAAAGUUGAACGCACACAACCCACCUCUUUUAAGGAUUUCAAGGGUACCUAUUGGACACCAAUUAUGAAUAACUGAUAGGUAUUAACACUACAACUUCCCAUGCUGGCAUCAGUGGCAAGAGACUACUCCCACAGCCCCCUUUCUGAUCCCAAAGUCAAACAUGGGGGCUGAGCUGUUGUUAGGACUAAAACCACAGAUCCUCCACAGCAUCUGAUUGCCCCCUUGCAAUUCUCAUCCCCAGUCAAUUCGCAUCCCGAGCGGGUUAUUGCGCUUUAUUUCCUCCCCUCAUGUAGAGACUGCCUUUCUCAGGGUUGUGAGACAGAGCACCUGGGUGCAGAGCUGUCUGGAGACCGUUGUGAGAUCUGGCAGUGGGUCAGAGCGUAGUGGAGAACCUGAUCCUUCCCCUCCCUGCAGCUCCUGCCCUGAUCUGAGAAGACUCCUCUCCAUCCCUUGGCCUGGAAACACUUGUCACACUGCUUUGGAAUUAUCUGCCCACGGGAUGCUCUUCCUUCCUAACCUCUGAACUGAAGGGCUGUGCCCACGCCUUACACAUCUUGGGCUCGCUAGUGACAAGCAUGCUCUGGAGCCUCAUAAUGUCUUGCGUGCUAUGGAAAACUGCUGAUCUAAUACAAGACACUCCAUAAGGGAUUCACGUCAGCUGAGAAGUCCAGGAGGGCCGGGACGCCCUGCAGUGACCAGCCUACGUGAAGGGUCACCAGAGAAGCCCCAAUGCUUUAUCACUGCGUGUCUGGUGAAUUGUGCAUGAAUGGAUGAACGGGACCCAGAUGUUGGGAAGAAGAUGAUGCCCCAAGUGCCCAUCCUGACGAAGGCCUGGUAGUCACAGCAACUGAGUGGAGUGCUGGACACAUCACACCAUCCUUAGACUAAUGAUCUGAAAAGCAGGCCAGGUGGGCACACGAAUGACCAGUGUGGAAGGAAAAUUAUAAGGCCUUCAUGUAAUUCAGCUUUGAUUGGAGAACAUAAUGAUAAACGGAAGUGAAUGUUGCCUCCCUAGAUCAGUUGCUGUUGAUGAGGAAGCUUGAAAGAAUGGUACUCUUUUUGCACACGUCAUUUGGGAAGACAUGUCCUGGGCAAGACACUACAGAUUGUUUGCAAGGAAGGGAAGGGUUUGCAAAUAGUCACAUCUGUUUCCAUAAAGAUUAAGUUUGUAUUCUUUCUAGAUCGUCUCAUUAUAAAGUUGAUCUGCCAAAGGCUAUCAAGAAAGAUACAGAGUUGAAAAUAAAAUUGCUUGAUAUUGUAAUAGAAAGUUCCAAGGACUUUUGAGACUAAAUGACUUAUUAGGAGAUUCUGUUGUUAGAAUAUUUGUUUAUAAAACUUGUUUUUAACUUAAGAUUUUCAGUUAUUUUCGAUGUAGGACUUGAGUUUACCCACAAGCUUUAAGUCACUAUGAUGUAACUAAUUCGGUUCUCACUUAAUUCAAUGUAUGUAAAAAGCUUUGUAGUUACUGUUCAAACUAAAGUACUUGCCAAAGUAAUAUAUCAUAUCCUCCUUGUAAAAUACAUUCACAAUCAAAAAAAAGGACUAUAAGUGAUUUCCCUUAAAA